rnacentral:rRNA from 1 species
AGUAAACGGCGGCCGUAACUAUACCGGCCCUAAUGUAGCGAAAUUCCCUGUCAGGUAAAUUCUGACCCGCACGAAUGGCGUAACCACUUGGGCGCUGUCUCAACGAGAGAUCCGGUGAAAUUUUAAUACCUGUGAAGAUGCAGGUUACCCGCGACAAGACGGAAAGACCCCAUGGAGCUUUACUGCAGCUUGAUAUUGAAUUUGGGUACGAUCUGUACAGGAUAGGUGGGAGCCGUAGAAAUCGGAGCGCAAGCUUCGGUGGAGGCGCCGUUGGGAUACCACCCUGAUCGUAUCUAGGUUCUAACCUAGUGCCCUAAUCGGGUACGGGGACCGUGUCAGGCGGGCAGUUUGACUGGGGCGGUCGCCUCCUAAAGAGUAACGGAGGCGUUCCAAGGUUCCCUCAGAAUGGUUGGAAAUCAUUCGAAGAGUGCAAAGGCAUAAGGGAGCUUGACUGCGAGACCUACAAGUCGAGCAGGGACGAAAGUCGGGCUUAGUGAUCCGGUGGUUCCGCAUGGAAGGGCCAUCGCUCAACGGAUAAAAGCUACCCCGGGGAUAACAGGCUUAUCUCCCCCAAGAGUCCACAUCGACGGGGAGGUUUGGCACCUCGAUGUCGGCUCAUCGCAUCCUGGGGCUGUAGUCGGUCCCAAGGGUUGGGCUGUUCGCCCAUUAAAGCGGUACGCGAGCUGGGUUCAGAACGUCGUGAGACAGUUCGGUCCCUAUCCGUCGUGGGCGUAGGAAAUUUGAGAGGAGCUGUCCUUAGUACGAGAGGACCGGGAUGGACGCACCGCUGGUGUACCAGUUGUUCUGCCAAGGGCAUAGCUGGGUAGCUAUGUGCGGAAGGGAUAAGUGCUGAAAGCAUCUAAGCAUGAAGCCCCCCUCAAGAUGAGAUUUCCCAUUCCGCAAGGAAGUAAGAUCCCUGAAAGAUGAUCAGGUUGAUAGGUCUGAGGUGGAAGUGUGGCGACACAUGGAGCUGACAGAUACUAAUCGAUCGAGGACUUAACCUA